rnacentral:rRNA from 1 species
AGCUUGCUACCUGACCUAGCGGCGGACGGGUGAGUAAUGCUUAGGAAUCUGCCUAUUAGUGGGGGACAACAUUCCGAAAGGAAUGCUAAUACCGCAUACGCCCUACGGGGGAAAGCAGGGGAUCUUCGGACCUUGCGCUAAUAGAUGAGCCUAAGUCAGAUCAGCUAGUUGGUGGGGUAAAGGCCUACCAAGGCGACGAUCUGUAGCGGGUCUGAGAGGAUGAUCCGCCACACUGGGACUGAGACACGGCCCAGACUCCUACGGGAGGCAGCAGUGGGGAAUAUUGGACAAUGGGCGAAAGCCUGAUCCAGCCAUGCCGCGUGUGUGAAGAAGGCCUUUUGGUUGUAAAGCACUUUAAGCGAGGAGGAGGCUACUGAGAUUAAUACUCUUGGAUAGUGGACGUUACUCGCAGAAUAAGCACCGGCUAACUCUGUGCCAGCAGCCGCGGUAAUACAGAGGGUGCGAGCGUUAAUCGGAUUUACUGGGCGUAAAGCGUGCGUAGGCGGCUUUUUAAGUCGGAUGUGAAAUCCCUGAGCUUAACUUAGGAAUUGCAUUCGAUACUGGGAAGCUAGAGUAUGGGAGAGGAUGGUAGAAUUCCAGGUGUAGCGGUGAAAUGCGUAGAGAUCUGGAGGAAUACCGAUGGCGAAGGCAGCCAUCUGGCCUAAUACUGACGCUGAGGUACGAAAGCAUGGGGAGCAAACAGGAUUAGAUACCCUGGUAGUCCAUGCCGUAAACGAUGUCUACUAGCCGUUGGGGCCUUUGAGGCUUUAGUGGCGCAGCUAACGCGAUAAGUAGACCGCCUGGGGAGUACGGUCGCAAGACUAAAACUCAAAUGAAUUGACGGGGGCCCGCACAAGCGGUGGAGCAUGUGGUUUAAUUCGAUGCAACGCGAAGAACCUUACCUGGUCUUGACAUAGUAAGAACUUUCCAGAGAUGGAUUGGUGCCUUCGGGACUUACAUACAGGUGCUGCAUGGCUGUCGUCAGCUCGUGUCGUGAGAUGGUUGGGUUAAGUCCCGCAACGAGCGCAACCUUUUCCUUAUUUGCCAGCGGGUUAAGCCGGGAACUUUAAGGAACU